GAGUUUGAUCCUGGCUCAGGAUGAACGCUAGCUACAGGCUUAACACAUGCAAGUCGAGGGGCAUCAGGAAGAAAGCUUGCUUUCUCAAGCGAGUGGCGAACGGGUGAGUAACGCGUGAGGAACCUGCCUCAAAGAGGGGGACAACAGUUGGAAACGACUGCUAAUACCGCAUAAGCCCACAGCUCGGCAUCGAGCAGAGGGAAAAGGAGCAAUCCGCUUUGAGAUGGCCUCGCGUCCGAUUAGCUAGUUGGUGAGGUAACGGCCCACCAAGGCGACGAUCGGUAGCCGGACUGAGAGGUUGAACGGCCACAUUGGGACUGAGACACGGCCCAGACU
rnacentral:rRNA from 1 species